rnacentral:rRNA from 1 species
GACGAACGCUGGCGGCGUGCUUAACACAUGCAAGUCGAGCGGUAAGGCCCUUUCGGGGGUACACGAGCGGCGAACGGGUGAGUAACACGUGGGUGACCUGCCUUUAGCUCUGGGAUAAGCCUGGGAAACCGGGUCUAAUACCGGAUAUGACUCCGCGGCGCAUGUUGUGGGGUGGAAAGCCUUGUGCGGCUGGAGAUGGGCCCGCGGCCUAUCAGCUUGUUGGGUGGGGUGAUGGCCUACCAAGGCGACGACGGGUAGCCGGCCUGAGAGGCGACCGGCCACACUGGGACUGAGACACGGCCCAGACUCCUACGGGAGGCAGCAGUGGGGAAUCUUGCGCAAUGGGCGAAAGCCUGACGCAGCGACGCCGCGUGAGGAUGACGCC